GUGAGAGUGAGAGGAGAAGUAGAGGGGGCACUCUCCAAAUUGUGCUUCAACAUAUAUUCCUAUAUUGUUUUCCUAGAGAAUAAAGGAGGGGGGAUACAAGAGGACGAUGAAGACUGAAAAUGGGAGGAAACAAGGGGGAGGAGCAGCCCCAUGCGCAGCAUGCAAGCUUCUUAGAAGAAGGUGCGGGGAAGAAUGUGUAUUUGCUCCAUACUUUCCUGCUGACCAACCUCAUAAGUUCGCCAACGUUCAUAAGGUUUUCGGCGCUAGCAAUGUUAACAAAAUGCUUCAGGAGUUGCCAAUUCACCAACGGGGAGAUGCAGUGAGCAGUUUGGUGUACGAAGCAAAUGCCCGAGUGCGUGACCCGGUGUAUGGGUGUGUUGGAGCAAUAUCGUCUCUACAGCAUCAAAUAGACGCCCUCCAAACUCAGCUGGCUUUGGCUCAAGCCGAGGUGGUGCACCUCAGGGUGCGUCAGACAGCAUCAUUUUCAAACUAUGGGCUAAGCCCAACAAGCCCAAGUAAUAGUGGGUCACCCUCAUCGAGGCUCGUGGGCUCACACUCUAGGGCCAUGUUUGAGAUGGAUAUGGUUGUGGACCAAGCCAUAGAGGACUCAAUGUGGUGAUAUAUCAUACUAUUAUUAUUUUCCUCGAAUCCCAUUUCCAUGGCGAUUUAGUUAGUUUUUCCUUUUUUUUUCUUUUCUUUUUCUACCCUGUUUUGUCAAAUUGGCUUUCACCUGGUUGUUGGCCAUUUGCUGUUACUUUCUUUCGUAUAUGCCGACCAGAGCAUAGCUCCAGCAGUCAGGCUUUUCAAUGUACUAUGUACCAAAUAUCUUGCAAAACUUACAAGGCCCCUUUUUAGAACCACAUACAAAUGUACGUUUGAAGUUGAUAAUUCCGUAGUUAAAUUCUAAAAUGGCGGAUAGAUUUGGCUUAAAACAUUGUAUAUGUAUACCUAUUAUGAGAUACAUACCCUGAGGCAUUUGUAUAUACAUAUAUAUUUUGUACAGGACAUAAUAUGCGUAUUACAAUGCAUGUCCUAAGAUCAUGCUGUUUUAUAACGUUCACCGCUUCCAGCUUUACAACACUUCCCAUUCCAAAACUAUUCUUAUACCUGCAUACAUCGAUACUUCCAUCCGGCCCAAUCAUUAGAACCAAUCAGAUUUUCGGAGGCUUUUGGUGCGCCACAUUUGGGCUCGAGUAUUCUAUUUCGUCGUCGGAGCAUGAGUGAACAUUAGAUGAUUCCGCUGACUCGACAAUGGUUGCAGCUGAUGGGUCCAGAAUUGUAUUAGUAUCAGGAUUCGAUUGAAGUGUCUGACUCCUGAAACUAUGAGAGCUUGCAGGUAUUGUUGGUUGAGGAUUUGUAUAUACAUGAGCUUCUUCAGUAAGUCUUUUAAGAAGGUUCAUAAUAGAUGGAAGCAACUGAGAUGAAAUGGAAAGAAGUCCUACGAACUGCUCAAAAAUGUACGAAGCAGAAGCCAAAAUUAGAAAAAUAAUAAUCACAAACUGGUAAAAGCACCAGUUUUCGCCGCAACAAUUUCAAACCAAGUUCCAAAACAUGUUCACACUUGAGAGAUGAUGCAUUAUUAUGAAAAUCAUCCAUUACUGUAAAAGGUUAAAAAGGUUAGACCAUAGAAUUUCAUAACAAAUAUCAGCAGCAAACGAUAAAGAAAGAAAAAAAAAUCUAUGAAGUAUUGGGUAUAACAAAUACUCUUAGUUUGCUGUGAUUGGUUACACUUGUAACUCAUUGAUUCAGUUUUUAUGUUAUAUAUUCAUAGUGUAUUUAUAUUGGGAUUCUCUCCCAAAUCAUCAAUAAUUUGAGAAAUUUAUUUACCCUAUAUAUUAUAAAAUGGUAUCAGAGAGAAAAAAGUUCACCUCCCUUCAAAUCCGUCUCAAGAUUCGUCUUUCUCCAUGGCAAACGAAGGUAACGAAGGUAACGACGGCAACUCGGAAGGUUCAACUAGAGCUCCCGACCCCAAUCCUAUUCAGAAUCAAGCCACCACUUCCACAGUGGCGUCUCAAUUGGGAACCUCCAUUGACGCACAACUAAAUCCAUUUCUUUCUUCACCACUCAUUUGCACCAACUUUAGUUCUGGUUACUCAGCCAUUGACAGAAGCAAGUAACUAAAGUUCUUGGAGUCGUGCAAUGAUGAUAGCGAACUCUGGCAGAACAAAGUCGGGUUGAUUGAGGGAACAAUCACGAAGCCAAAUACAGAAGGAAGUCUCCUCUCAGUGUGGUAUUGCAACAAUAAUAUCAUUGCUUCUUGGAUACCGAACUCUGAUUCAAAAGAAAUUGCAGCAAGCAUCGUCUACAAUGGAUCCGUGGAGGAGAUCUAUAGGAUGAACUACGAGAUCAUUUUAGACAAAGCAUCAGGCUGCAAAUCUAUCAACUCCGCAAGGAACUUGUCACACUCAGGCAGGGUACUUUAUCUGUUGAAGCCUAGCUAUUGCACGAAAUUAGAAACGAUUUGGCAAAAUCUUAUCGAAUUUAGAUUGGUUGAUGAGUGUUUUUGUGGAGGCCUCAAACCAACUAACCAUUUCUUGAAUACUUGGAUACUGAAUAUGUGAUGAUAUUCCUCAUGGGACUUAAUGAAGCAUAAGCGAGUGUCGGGACCCAAAUCUUGCUAAUGAAUCCUAUUCCUUCUAUCACCAAGGUUUUCUCCUUGCUGAUUCAAGAAGAACAUCAGAGAUCCGUAGAUCUCCAUCAAGAGUCCAUUACUACUCCACUUACUGCUGAAACCACCAAGAAACAAGGUUCCUCUUCAUCAAAUGCCGAUCGCAAUCACAAGAAGGAUGGGCCAAUUAGUUCAAAUUGUGGAAAAAAGGUCAUAUUGCUGGUAAAUGUUACAAGUUGCAUGGUUUUUCACCGGGCUACAAAACUCAAUCUCCUAAUCCUCCUACGAAGUUACAGCACAAAUGUUCCUAACACUGUAGUCCAACUUUUACCUUCUUACGCGACCGUUUAACAAAAUACUCUUUCAAAACUUUCUCCUAAACUCUUGUUACCAACAAUGACCUUCAACUUAGGUGUGGGUCUUACAUUCAUAAUAUGUUGUUUAUCCCACAAUUCCAAUAUAACUUGAUAUCAGUUAGUUGCUUACUAAACGAUAAAUCUUAUUCUCUGCAGUUCUCUAACAUUGAUUGCACCAUACAAGACAAUUAAACUUUGAGAAUGAUCGGCAAGGCUAGGUGCUGCAAUGAGCUGUAUCUGUUGAACUUGAGUAAAAAGUCAUCUCCCUUGUUGCUAUCCUUAAGGCAGUUGUACCCUCCCAUGUUUGGCAUAAUCGUUUAGGCCACCCCUCUCCUAAAAACCUAUCCAUUUUAAAAGAUAGACUACACUUUAAUGAUUCUCACUCCUCCUCUUGUGACAUUUGUCCCCUUGUCAAACAAAAAUGAUUGUCCCUUCAUUCAAAUAAUAAAAUCUCUUUGAAUCUUGUUCAUUGUGAUACUUGGGUCCCUUCAAAUUAUCUACUUAUGCUGGUUAUAAAUACUUUCCAUCUCUAGUUGAUGAUUGUUCUCUGAUCACCUGGGUCUAUUUGAUGCACCAUAAAUCUAAUGCUUUGGCCAUUGUUCCAACCUUUUUCAAAAUGAUAGAAACACGAUUUUCUAAAACCAUAAAGUUAUUUCAAUCUGACAAUGCUCCUGAACUACGGUUUGCCGAAUUCUUUGGUUCAAAAGGAACCUUUCAUCUGUUCUCAUGUGUCAAAAGACCCCAACAAAACUCCAUAACUGAACUCCAUAAUUGAAAGAAGCCAAUAAUUUCUAAAUGUUACUAGGGCCUUAUACUUCCAAUCCAAAAUUCCUCUAAGAUUAGAGAUGGUAUUCUUAGGGCAGCCUCUAUCAUCAACAGAAUUCUUAUGAAAAUCAUUAACCAAAGAUCCACAUAUUUCAUACUUCACACCAGUGAGGUUGACUACACAACCUUUAAAUCCUUUGGUUGCUUAUGUUAUGCUCUACCUGACAAUGAACAAAUCUAAGUUUGAUCUUGGGCCUUGUCAUAUGUCUUCAUUGCAUAUCUGUCUGGUUACAAGGGAUACCGCUUACAUGAUAUAACUAAUCAGAAAAUUGUCAUCUCAAGAGAUGUAGUAUUUCAUGAGAAUUAUUUUCCUUUUCAUCAUGUUGCUGAAUAGAGAAAAUGGUGCUAAUGCAAAUGACAUAUUUGUUCUACCACAUCCAUUAACGGAUGUUGUUCCCUUGGAGGUAUCCCCUUGAAUUCUAAUGAAAGCAAUUCAGCAUCAGCCUCUGAUAUUCAACAAUUAGCAAGUAGCAGUCCACAAUCAGCAUGAAGCAAUCAAGAGGAGGAAGAAGUUAAAAAGUCUAAGGUUAUGAAAUGAAGAGAAAAGAGAAGAAGAUGAAAAGUUUGAAUUGAAAAUGCACCUUCUUUUGCUAUUAAUGUCUGAAGCACGACACUUAAGAGAGGAGGUUGCAUGCUGCAUGCAGUAUCUCUCCUCCAUGAUUGAGAGAUGGCCUCUAUUUCUCUUUCUAAUCAAUGUCUUGGUAGUAUCACUUUUUAAUUGAAGCUUUGUCUGGUGGUCGAAGAAUAAAAGUCCACCUUCUGUCUAUGUCUAAUUUUACUUAAAUAUCAAAUAUUCUAGAUGAUAUUGUCAUAUUUUAAGAGUUAAAUAUUUUUGCUCUUCCGUAUAAUAGGUUUAAAUAAUAUUAAUUUAUUAUUC